rnacentral:rRNA from 1 species
AUUGAACGCUGGCGGCAGGCCUAACACAUGCAAGUCGGACGGUAGCACAGAGGAGCUUGCUCUUCGGGUGACGAGUGGCGGACGGGUGAGUAAUGCCUGGGGAUCUGCCCGAUAGAGGGGGAUAACCACUGGAAACGGUGGCUAAUACCGCAUAACGUCGCAAGACCAAAGAGGGGGACCUUCGGGCCUCUCACUAUCGGAUGAACCCAGAUGGGAUUAGCUAGUAGGCGGGGUAACGGCCCACCUAGGCGACGAUCCCUAGCUGGUCUGAGAGAAUGACCAUCCACACAGGAACUGAGACACGGUCCAGGCACCUACGGGAGGAAGCAGUGGGAAAUAUUGCACAAUGGGCGCAAGCCUGUUGCAGCCAUGCCGCGUGAAGGAUUAAGGUCCUCUGGAUUGUAAACUUCUUUUAUUUGGGACGAAAAAAGGGAAUUCUUUCCCACUUGACGGUACCAAGUGAAUAAGCACCGGCUAACUCCGUGCCAGCAGCCGCAGUAA